rnacentral:rRNA from 1 species
GAUGAACGCUGGCGGCGUGCCUAAUACAUGCAAGUCGAGCGAACAGACGAGGAGCUUGCUCCUCUGACGUUUGCGGCGGACGGGUGAGAAACACGUGGAUAACCUACCUAUAAGACUGGGAUAACUUCGGGAAACCGGAGCUAAUACCGGAUAAUAUAUUGAACCGCAGUGUUCAAUAGUGAAAGACGGUUUUGCUGUCACUUAUAGAUGGAUCCUCGCCUCAUUGGCUAGUUGGUAAGGUAACGGCUUACCAAGGCGACGAUGCGUAGCCGACCUGAGAGGGUGAUAGGCCACACUGGAACUGGGACACGGUCCAGACUCCUACGGGAGGCAGCAGUAGGGAAUCUUCCGCAAUGGGCGAAAGCCUGACGGAGCAACGCCGCGUGAGUGAUGAAGGUCUUCGGAUCGUAAAACUCUGUUAUUAGGGAAGAACAAAUGUGUAAGUAACUAUGCACGUCUUGACGGUACCUAAUCAGAAAGCCACGGCUAACUACGUG